rnacentral:lncRNA from 1 species
GGUUAGGGGCUGAGUUAGGCUAUUGGAAUAACUUAGUUAAGUCAAUUGCAACUUAUUAUGGGUACCAAAAAGGCCAAAAACAGUUUCCAAGUGAUGAUUUAUAAUUUGGGUCUCUAAGUUAAUGAAAUUGAAGUGUUAGAACCUAAAAUGAUGCAUAACUAUUAGAAAUUGAUGUUAGGAACGUUUGUAAUAACUUAGGCAAGUUUAAUUCAAUAUUUAUAU